rnacentral:rRNA from 1 species
CCUACGGGUGGCAGCAGUGAGGAAUAUUGGUCAAUGGGCGGGAGCCUGAACCAGCCAAGCCGCGUGAGGGAAGAAGGUACAGCGUAUCGUAAACCUCUUUUGUCAGGGAACACAGGCGGGGACUAGUCCCCGGAUGAGGGUACCUGAAGAAACAGCAUCGGCUUACUCCGGGCCAGCAGCGGCGGUAAUACGGGGGAUGCGAGCGUUAUCAGUUUUUAUUGUGUUUAAAGGGUGCGCAGGCGGCCUGUUAAGUCAGCGGUAAAAGACCGGGGCUCAACCCCGGCGAGCCGUUGAAACUGGCGGGCUGGAGUUGGAGAGAAGUACGCGGAAUGCGCGGUGUAGCUGUGAAAUGCUUAGAUAUCGCGCAGAACCCCGAUUGCGAAGGCAGCGUACCGGCUCCACACUGACGCUGAGGCACGAAAGCGUGGGUAUCGAACAGGAUUAGAUACCCUGGUAGUC